rnacentral:rRNA from 1 species
AUGAUGGAGAGAGCCGCAUACAGAACUUGUUAUGGUCAACAGGAGCCAACAGAGCACAAUACCACUAUGCUCACAGUUGAUGAAUUCAAGACUGCAAGGAAGCAAUUAACCGAAAGAUAUGGUUUGCAAAAACACAAUUACCUCACCCAAAUAUAUGAAACGGGGGAAAAAUGGGCAAAACCAUAUUUUAAUGGAAAGUUCUGUGGAAAGAUGACAAUCACACAACGUAGCGAGAGUGCCAACCAUAUGUUGAAGACUUAUGUUCCAGUAGCCCCUGUUAUGAAAAUAAACACACCACUCGAGCUGCAUGCCAGCAAAAUCUACACACGAGCCAUAUUAGAAAAUUUUGUGGAAGUUAUAUAUGAAGCAGGACAAUACAAAGUAGAAGAGGUUACUAAAGGCACUCGAAGUAGUGAGGUUGGGAGAUGCAAAUCCAGAAGCAUGUGA